CUUCUCGAAUGAGUGAAGUGUUAAAAUUAGAUAAUGCAGUUAGUUUUUGGUUAUUAUAUUCAAAGAAAUGUAAUGAGUAUUGGUGUAAUUGAAAUGUUUAAACUAUUUUUUAUACAUUUCACAUAUACAGUAUAAAAACGUAAGAAUACCUUUAUUGUUAAGUGGUUUCACAUAAAAUAACAAUUAUGUGUUGCAUUGCUAAAAAAAACAUCGAAAUAAUUGUUAAACUUCCAUUUCGAAUUUCCUCACAAUGAAUUUAAAAAUUUAUUGUAAAAUUGCGUGUGUGCCAAUAUGUCGGUAUGUGUGGGCACAUGUGGUAUCUCUUUUUUGUUUAUAAACUAGCUCACUGAUAACAUGCAGUAUUUUAUUGUUUUCUAAAAGAAAUUUUAAAUAUAGUUCGGUAAAGUUGGCCGUUGCGCUUUGGCUACCAGAAUGCUCGGGUUCGAAAAGAUUUUACCUAACUGUAGCCGCUUCUCGACACGUCCGUCUCAUAAUAUUCCUUGUAAACUUCUUAGAGAACGUAGAAGAAGGCUGCAAUGAAAUUUAUAACGGUACAUAAUUGCAAUGCUAAGGCCAUGGUAAGAUCUAUACCGCAUUAAAUUAUUUUUGGCACCAAUGUUGUCAAAAUGUACAAAUAUUUCCAUAGGGUCGUGUAGUUUAAGUACAUCUAAAAGUAAUCGGUACUAUUCUCAUUUAAAGAAUUAUCGCACUUAUAUCAUCCGGAAAUCAAUUCGUCUUUUCAUCCUAGCAACUUCGAUAUACGUAACUCUAUAUAUGUAUAUUUCGAUUAGUUGUACGGAACAAAACUACUAUAAUCUAUGCAACAGGUAUCGAUUGUAAAAGUAAGUUUAAAUUUCUAUCACUUCGUUGUUUAUCACUUUCGUUGCCAAAUUAGACCAAAAUUAAAAAUAAAAUAAACACGCAGCAUAGUGAAACAAAAAAUUGUCGUUGAUAGAUACAUACAUACAUACACUCCAUCACUGAGGGGCGACUGUUGAAACCAAGGCGUCUACUUAGGAAUUUCAACUCUAAUUUGCAACAUAUCCCUUGAUAUGCUGUCGUUGAUGAUGCUUAUUAACUGUCAGUCAUGAUCACACGCUCCAACUGCUAUAUGUGUGUAUUUCACCUGACAACACUUCCGACAUUUUUAACUCCUACGCGUUCACUUCUAAAUAUAGUAUUAUCUUUGGCGUGCGACACACUCUCACACAUCCAUAUGAAUAUUACCAGUGGGGAUGUAUUUUUUGUAAAUACAUACAUAUGUAUGUACAUUGUAUCCUCAACUAUGACCUUUUAAAUAUUUAUAUCUGGUUACUGCAAUGUUAAGCAUUCCGAAACACAAUGUACCUUGAAAAUUUUUGAAGCUGUGCAGAUGAGCAAAUUAACACAAUUUAUUAUUAACAAAUUGCAAUCGCUGCAUGGCGUACAGUUUUAUGUGUUUUGUUUGCUAUAAACAAAAUCACCCGCCAAUAUUGAACAACUAAAGGCUACACUUGGAAUACUUUAAUACAUACAUAUGUAUAUAGCUACUCUGCCUUUCUUGAUUAAUAUGCUCAUAUUUGAAAGUAAUUAUUUACAAUUAUAUACAAACGUAUGUAUCUGGAACAAAGACUUUGGCAAAAUAUAUUUUUUAACUGGGAAAUUUCGAAAUGUUCAACCAUCUGCAUAUUUCGAUAAGGAUUGUGGAAUUUAGAAAUUGCCCCCCAGUAUUUCAUUGUAAGACUAUUCCAAAUGAUUUACUAAGAGGUACGAGGUCUACCAAAAAAGCCAGAAUGCCAAUGAAGGACCACACCCCCUCAUGACAACUUGUAUUCCAUCCAUGUCUUGAAAAUUAACCUUACUACUUAACACACCUCGUAAGUAUGAAUCUAUUGAAAUAUAAAUCGCUCAUUUAUAUGAAUAAUGUCAUAACUCAAAAAACUGGGCAAUAGUUUCAAACGCUUUGAUUCAUACAUACUUUACAAAUUAUACCAACAACAUCAACAUCAAAAAACACAUUUUUAUUGGCUGGAAUUUUUUAAACAUAUCGCUCAUUUACAUGAAUAGUGUCAACACGAUUUUUGAGUUGAGUAUGCUGAAAUGUGCCCAAUUUCAUUGUCCAUAUGGUAUUUUUAAAAAUUUCAUUCUGAUACGUAGACACAUUUCAUUUGUUAUUCUGGCACAGCCACGUUUUUUUCAGAAAGAACGUCAUAUUUUGUGUUAGAACGAUAUUUUUGAAAAGGUAAUUCAAUUUUUCAUAAUGCUUUUUUCAUAAAUAACGACAUAAUUCAAAGUGGGUCACGUUUAUGCCCAAGAAAAAAUUUAGUACACUCUAUUUAGUCCACUUGUGCUCAGCAUUUUAUUUAGUUUAUACUAGUUUAUUCAAUACACGCAUGGCAUUUUUCUAUAUUUGCUAAAUAAAAGACAAUUGAAAACUUUAUACUGCUCUUCUGAAAAAUCGACUGUUUUGAGUUGUGACACUAUUCAUGUAAAUGAGCGAUAUGUUAAAGAAAAUUUAUUCAAUAUGUAUACAUAUAUGAUAUACUGUCAUAAUUAAAUUCAAAAUUCCAUUUUAUUUUACUAUGAAUGGUUUUGAUAGACUUUAAUUAGCUUGAUAUAUCAAAUACGCGCAAAACGUGCGCAAGUUUAUGCCACUUGUAUUAUUUCAAGAUUCUUGCUGAUUAAAUUUAUUUAUAGCAAAACGUACGCUCUUUCAUUUACAACCACUUAGUGCGUAAAUCAGCAAAUACACAAGCAUUUGACAUACAACACAGCGAUUACCAACAUUAGGAUCAUAAUCUGUAUAGAUAAGCUUACAAUCGAAAUUCCAAAAGAAAUUUCAUUUUUAAUUUUUAUACUCUCGCAACAUGUUGCACAGAGUAUUAUAGUUUCGUUCACAUAACGGUUGUUUGUAUCACCGAGAAAUAAAAGAGAUAGAUAUGGGGUUAUAUAUAUAUAUAAAUGAUCAGGAUGACGAGUGAAGUUGAAAUCCGGAUGUCUGUCCGCGCAAGCGAUACAAUUGUGAUAAUUGUGUGUGUCUGUUCCAAAAAUUUUUAAAAUCGGAUCAGAACUUCCCCUAGCUCCCAUAUACAUGUACCUAAUUAUGUGCGGGCUUUAUUCCGCACAUAUCGGUUAAUAUGUGAGAUAUCUUAGCAAAAUUAAGUGAUCAUAUAGUCUUGGAUAUAGUGUAGCUUGGUGGGGUAAAUGAGUAAAAUCGGUUUAGGAAUUACAUCAGCCCUCAUAUACCAUAUAUGAUGAUUUUCGUUAUUCUAUUGGACUUUAUGCCGCAUAUAUGGGUCAAAUUGUGUGUUAUCUUAAUAAAAUUACAUCAAUAAAUUGCGAGAGUAUAAAAAGUAAAAAAGGUCGCAUCCGAACUUAGCCUUUCCUUACUUGUUAUAUUUGUGUUUUCACAUUAUGAGUACAAGUACGUGUGUACGUGAUGAUUGGUGUCAAAUUUGUUAUUGAUAUAAAAAUAAGUAAAAAUUGGACUAAAAUACUUUUGUUUUAGUUUCACAAAUUACAAACAUUAUUUGUUGCCUUGCCAUACAAGGAAAAAUAACACAUUUGUCAUUAUUCGAUAUGAAUGAUCUGAAUGUUAAGAACCCAUUAAACUUGAAGUUUCAAGGGCUAAUUUAUCUGAAGAAAAUUAAAGAAAAAAAUUCGUGCAGAAACUGUUAAACGAUAAAAGCUGGUCAGGAAGAUCUUUGUUAAAUUUACCGACCUAAAUUGUUCCACGAAUAAAUAAACAAAGUGGCAACCUCAGAUUGAAUGUAAAACUUUAAACGCGUUUAUCUCAAAAUUAAAUUUUUCAAGUCGGUGGACACGAUUUCUAAAAAGGUUUGAAGAAAUUUUGUUCAAAUUUUGCACAGAUCUGUGAAAUAACAUUAUGAAGUUAAUGAGCGAUGGAUUUUUUUAUUCUUAUUACAACUAUUUUUUUUCGAUCCAAUAUACUUAUGACGAAAACUUGACCAAAAAAGUGCGUUUUUCGUUAAAAUUCUGUCAAAAUUAAAAUUUUAAUAUUUUCUUUUUUCCUUCGUUCUAUACAUGUAUGUAUGUACUCUCGAAAUAUUUUUGAUUGAUUGAUUUGGUUUAUUGAUUUUAAUGAGUUAUGCUGUCCACAGCAUACGGCAUUGGUACAUACGUAAUGAUAGUAAAGGUACCAACGGCUGAUUUUCGGAAUAUAUAAAUUAAAUAUUUCUCAAAUUACAGUUUAAAUUCAUAUGUACCUUUGAUAUGCUUAAUUGUUUAAAUAAAAGAUAUGAUUGUAUAUGGGUGAUUCUA